rnacentral:rRNA from 1 species
CCCUUAGAUGUUCUGGGCUGCACGCGCGCUACACUGAUGCAAUCACCGAGUUUUUCCUGCUCCGAUAGGAUUGGGUAAUCUUUUGAAAUUGCAUCGUGAUGGGGAUAGAUUAUUGCAAUUAUUAGUCUUCAACGAGGAAUUCCUAGUAAGCGUAAAUCAUCAGCUUGCGCUGAUUACGUCCCUGCCCUUUGUACACACCGCCCGUCGCACCUACCGAUUGAAUGGUCCGGUGAAGUCUCCGGACUGAGUACUUUUAGUACUUGGGAAGUUGACUAAACCUUACUAUUUAGAGGAAGGUGAAGUCGUAACA